UGGGUGGCGGACGGGUGAGUAACGCGUGGGUAACCUGCCCUGUACAGGGGGAUAACAGCCGGAAACAGCUGCUAAUACCCCAUAAGCGCACAGUAUCGCAUGAUACAGUGUGAAAAGCCGAGACGGUACAGGAUGGACCCGCGUCUGAUUAGAUAGUUGGUGGGGUAACGGCCCACCAAGUCGACGAUCAGUAGCCGGCCUGAGAGGGUGAACGGCCACAUUGGGACUGAGACACGGCCCAAACUCCUACGGGAGGCAGCAGUGGGGAAUAUUGCACAAUGGGCGAAAGCCUGAUGCAGCGACGCCGCGUGAGGGACGAAGGCCUUCGGGUUGUAAACCUCUUUCAGCAGGGAAGAAGCGAAAGUGACGGUACCUGCAGAAGAAGCGCCGGCUAACUACGUGCCAGCAGCCGCGGUAAUACGUAGGGCGCAAGCGUUAUCCGGAAUUAUUGGGCGUAAAGAGCUCGUAGGCGGUUUGUCGCGUCUGCUGUGAAAGCCCGGGGCUCAACCCCGGGUCUGCAGUGGGUACGGGCAGACUAGAGUGCAGUAGGGGAGACUGGAAUUCCUGGUGUAGCGGUGAAAUGCGCAGAUAUCAGGAGGAACACCGAUGGCGAAGGCAGGUCUCUGGGCUGUAACUGACGCUGAGGAGCGAAAGCAUGGGGAGCGAACAGGAUUAGAUACCCUGGUAGUCCAUGCCGUAAACGUUGGGCACUAGGUGUGGGGGACAUUCCACGUUUUCCGCGCCGUAGCUGACGCAUUAAGUGCCCCGCCUGGGGAGUACGGCCGCAAGGCUAAAACUCAAAGGAAUUGACGGGGGCCCGCACAAGCGGCGGAGCAUGCGGAUUAAUUCGAUGCAACGCGAAGAACCUUACCAAGGCUUGACAUGAACCGGAAAGGCCUGGAAACAGGUCCCCCACUUGUGGCCGGUUUACAGGUGGUGCAUGGUUGUCGUCAGCUCGUGUCGUGAGAUGUUGGGUUAAGUCCCGCAACGAGCGCAACCCUCGUUCUAUGUUGCCAGCGGGUUAUGCCGGGGACUCAUAGGAGACUGCCGGGGUCAACUCGGAGGAAGGUGGGGACGACGUCAAAUCAUCAUGCCCCUUAUGUCUUGGGCUUCACGCAUGCUACAAUGGCCGGUACAAAGGGUUGCGAUACUGUGAGGUGGAGCUAAUCCCAAAAAGCCGGUCUCAGUUCGGAUUGAGGUCUGCAACUCGACCCCAUGAAGUUGGAGUCGCUAGUAAUCGCAGAUCAGCAACGCUGCGGUGAAUACGUUCCCGGGCCUUGCACACACCGCCCGUCA
rnacentral:rRNA from 1 species